rnacentral:rRNA from 1 species
UACGGAGGAUCCAAGCGUUAUCCGGAUUUAUUGGGUUUAAAGGGUGCGUAGGCGGUUUUGUAAGUUAGAGGUGAAAGUCAAAGGCUCAACCUUUGGAUUGCCUCUAAAACUACUUAACUAGAGAUUAGUUGCUGUGGGCGGAAUGUGUAGUGUAGCGGUGAAAUGCUUAGAUAUUACACAGAACACCGAUUGCGAAGGCAGCUCACAAAGCUAAAUCUGACGCUGAGGCACGAAAGCGUGGGGAGCAAACAGG